AUUGAACGCUGGCGGCAUGCCUUACACAUGCAAGUCGAACGGCAGCACGGGAGCUUGCUCCUGGUGGCGAGUGGCGAACGGGUGAGUAAUACAUCGGAACGUACCCUGAAGUGGGGGAUAACGUAGCGAAAGUUACGCUAAUACCGCAUAUUCUGUGAGCAGGAAAGAGGGGGAUCGCAAGACCUCUUGCUUUAGGAGCGGCCGAUGUCGGAUUAGCUAGUUGGUGAGGUAAAGGCUCACCAAGGCGACGAUCCGUAGCGGGUCUGAGAGGAUGAUCCGCCACACUGGGACUGAGACACGGCCCAGACUCCUACGGGAGGCAGCAGUGGGGAAUUUGGACAAUGGGCGCAAGCCUGAUCCAGCCAUGCCGCGUGAGUGAAGAAGGCCUCGGG
rnacentral:rRNA from 1 species